AAGCGUUACAAUUCAUUCCCGAAAGGAUUCACCUCUGGGUGAAGAUGCCUUGUAACCAAAUAAUUAUAUUAAUGGGGGAAUUUCCAUAUG
rnacentral:sRNA from 2 species